UACGAAGGGGGCUAGCGUUGCUCGGAAUUACUGGGCGUAAAGGGCGCGUAGGCGGGAUGGCAAGUCGGUCGUGAAAUCCUUCGGCUCAACCGAAGAACGUCGAUCGAUACUGCUGUUCUUGAGGGUUGCAGAGGAGACUGGAAUUCCCGGUGUAGCGGUGAAAUGUGUAGAGAUCGGGAGGAACACCGGUGGCGAAGGCGGGUCUCUGGGCAAUUCCUGACGCUGAGGCGCGAAAGCGUGGGGAGCAAACAGG
rnacentral:rRNA from 1 species